CUCGCUCCGCGCCGCCGCCGCCGCCGCCGCCUCCUGGUCCGAGGGGUGCUGGGCGGGGACCCGGAGGAGGAGGAGGAGGAGGAGGAAGAAGAAAGAGGAGGAGGAGGGAAGAGAGCCGCGCGCGCCUGCCCUUAGCGCCGCGAGGCCGGGGGACGGGGGGUGGAGGCGGCGGCGGGGAGUCUCCGCCUCAGCAGCGGCCGCGACCGCCGCUCUCUCAACUCGGAUGGCCCCUGCGCCCCUCUAGCCAUCCGUCUUCCCAGUGCAGUUGCGGCAGCGGCGAAAGCCGACGGGACGAGGGCGCCAGAGAAAGAGCAGGAGCAGACGGAGGCGGUACCACGGCUCGGAGCAGCAAUGACAUUCCCCCCACACCCGCCGCCCGCCCCGCCGUGAGGAGCAGGAGGAGGAGUCCCCCGGAGUCCGGGCGGAGCUCAGGCUACCUCUGACUCCGCCCCCGACCCAACAGGAACUGGCCCCUACGCCUGUCACAAUGCGACAGGUCCGUUAGGGGGCGGGCCCAGAACCGCGGUGCCGGCCAAUGGGGGCGCGAGCUGGGGCGGGGCUUGGCCCCACCGUUCUCCCCUCCCCCUCCCGGCCUCGCGCUUGUUCGCCCGGAGCGGCCUGGCUGCGCGGUUACUGUUUCAUUGUCAGUUGAAAGACGCAGUUUCUCGCGCCUGUAUUGGCGGCCAGGAGGGGCGCUAGGCGACUCCGCGCGUUGCUUUGAGCUGAGCCGGGUCAAGGGGGCGGGAGGUGGUCGAGGACAGACGGGCGGCCUCCUUUAGAACCGGUUUAGGGAACGCAGGGAGCGCCGCGCCGACUGGCCGGCCGCUCGCGGGCGCUCCGAGGUCAUGACUUUUAACCCGCUUUGCGUGGAGCGCCCAUCACGUGACCGGGCGCGCGGGCGCGCAGGCGCGCAGUACUAGUGCCCCGCGCGUGGGUCUGGCGCGUAGGGAUCUGCCUCCUGGGGCUCCCCGCUCCUGGCGCAGCGAAUCACCAGCCAGCGGCCGCGCCGCGACCAGCCCAGCGAGCGGCGCCAGGCGGCCUGCCUCCGAAGUCCCGGGCGAGGGCACGUUUGCCGGCGCUGGGAACUGGUCGGAGCCGGCAAACAAGCCCCUAGCUCGGGAGGGACCCCGUGGGACAAGCGAAGUGCGACUUUCUCCGGCUUUUUUCGCUUCUUGUAUUUUCCUGAUUGCAAAGAUAACGUUUGUUCACUGGAAAUGUGGGCAAAGGGAUGUGAGACUGAAAACAAGCUACCAGGAGUUAGCCCGCCCUGCCAGGGCAAACUUCUCCCACCUGCCAGCAUCUCCUGGAUGCACUCGACUCCCUUUCAUUUCAACACUGAGAACCCAAACAUUUGUGAGAAUAAAAUCUUAUUCAGUACUCAUUAAGUGUCUGCAAGCUUACUAUGUCACAGAGAUAAGAAAAACACUCAAGAGUCUGAGUACACUUCAGAAAACCAAUCAAGAAUUUUCCAACUUUGAAGAAACCCUAGUCUACCCAGUGACGUUCCCCCAACUCAACCCUGUUCUCAACCAUGGAGUUUCUCUCUCUCUGCUGAGGAUGGUCUCCAUCUGUCCUCUCCUCCUUCAAAACAGGGCCUAGGACUUUGGAAACCCAACCCAGGAAAACACCACUGUUUCAGCUCUCCACCAGGGCGUGUCCCUGCCUGGAGGCAGUGAGCUCAAAACAGCCUAACUGUUUGGAGAGGAAAGAACAUAGGGAAGAAAUGAACUACUGGGGGAAAUAGCUUAAAAAUAC
rnacentral:lncRNA from 1 species